ACCCCGGCUGACUAAGCAUAUCAAUAAGCGGAGGAAAAGAAACUAACAAGGGAUUCCCCUAGUAACUGCGAGUGAAGCGGGAAAAGCUCAAAUUUAAAAUCUGGCGGUCUUUGGCUGUCCGAGUUGUAGUCUGGAGAAGCGUUUUCCGCGCUGGACCGUGUACAAGUCCCUUGGAAUAGGGCGUCAUAGAGGGUGAGAAUCCCGUCUUUGACACGGACUACCAGUGCUUUGUGAUGCGCUCUCAAAGAGUCGAGUUGUUUGGGAAUGCAGCUCAAAAUGGGUGGUAAAUUCCAUCUAAAGCUAAAUAUUGGCGAGAGACCGAUAGCGAACAAGUACCGUGAGGGAAAGAUGAAAAGCACUUUGGAAAGAGAGUUAAACAGUACGUGAAAUUGCUAAAAGGGAAACGCUUGAAGUCAGUCGCGUUAUGCAGAACUCAGCCUGGCUUUUGCUUGGUGUAUUUUCUGUAUGACGGGCCAGCAUCAAUUUUGGCCGCUGGAAAAAGGCCUCAGAAAUGUGGCACCUUCGGGUGUGUUAUAGUCUGAGGUCAUAUACAGCGGCUGGGAUUGAGGUCUGCAGCACGCCUUUAUGGCUGGGGUUCGCCCACAUUCGUGCUUAGGAUGCUGGCGUAAUGGCUUUAAACGACCCGUCUUGAAACACGGACCAAGGAGUCUAACAUGCCUGCGAGUGUUUGGGUGGAAAACCCGAGCGCGCAAUGAAAGUGAAAGUUGAGAUCCCUGUCGUGGGGAGCAUCGACGCCCGGACCAGACCUUUUGUGACGGAUCUGCGGUAGAGCAUGUAUGUUGGGACCCGAAAGAUGGUGAACUAUGCCUGAAUAGGGUGAAGCCAGAGGAAACUCUGGUGGAGGCUCGUAGCGAUUCUGACGUGCAAAUCGAUCGUCAAAUUUGGGUAUAGGGGCGAAAGACUAAUCGAACCAUCUAGUAGCUGGUUCCUGCCGAAGUUUCCCCUCAGGAUA
rnacentral:rRNA from 1 species